CUGCAGCAGAGGUGGCCCAGCAGCUGCACCACCAGAUCCAGUUGCUGGUGUGGAACCGAGAGCAAAGCUGAGAGGUGAGCUGAGCCUGCGGUGCAGGCAGAGCAGCGCCAGCAGCAUCUGCCACACUAGCUCAUCCAAUCUUGUUGUACUCCUGUGGCCCUGGGGCACCCUCUUUCUCCUCACACGCUACCGCGGCCUGAUGGCUUUUAUCCAUCCCUGCAGCCUGCGCGGGCCAUUGCUUAGGGAUAAGUACACAGGAAGAGAGGCAUUUGCAAGUGUCAUGAUAACCACAUCACCACUGCUGUUGGCACUCACAGAACUGUUGAAAUGAAAGUCUUUAAGGCCAAUGUCAAAAAUUGUAUCUGUUAUGAUUCCCUUGGAAUGGGACCUGUGUGUGAGUGAGAUGCUGGUGCCUGUGGCAUUUCAGGGGCCUUUAGGGAGAUGAUUAAGGUUGAAUGAGGUAUGAGAAGGCAAAGAGACACCAGAGUCUUCUGUCUGCCAUGUGAGAACACAGUGAGAAGGUGGCCAUCUGCAAGCCAGGAACGGAUCCCUCACCAGAACCUGACCAGGCUGGCACCUGACCUCAGACUUCUAUUCUCUACAACUGUGAGAAAAUUAAUUUCCGUAAUUUAAA